GAGCUUUUAUUAAAGAGAGGCAGGCAGACAAAUCCGAAUCAUGAGACAGUAGCAUGGUCAAAAAACAGGCAAUGGGUCAGGCGAUUGGCAAACAGGCACAAACUAGGCAAAACUGCAAUCGAGAAUGAGGGUGAGAACAAGAUCAAAAUAAUAACACGAACUGAGAAACAAAUGCUUGGUAUACGGAAACUCACGUAAUACUUCGCGAAGUACAAAGAAACAUGAAGGGUUUAAAUGACAAAUGUAAUCAAGGGUGAUCACAAAACAGCUGAGACUAAUGAUGACACCUACGGGAAACAACCAAUGACAAUACAGGAGUGGAGACAGGACAUAAACCAUAACAAAUGCAUGUGUCGAAAGUAAACAAAGUCGAGGUCUCCGAAAAUCAAGCUCGUGCUUCGGGUUACCGAAAACGCUGCAUGCUAGCUAGCGCUAGCUCGAGAGGAAAUCGUGACAGAACCACCAGAACACACUCCCCUCCCCUGGCCAUCCUGGCCUUCUGGGCAAAAUAUCUUCAGCUGAACAGGAAGGCAGAGCGACGUCCUCAGCGGGACAGGAAGGCAGAGCAACGUCCUCAUCGGAGCAGGAAGGCAGAGCGACGUCCUCAUCAGAGCAGGAAGGCAGAGCGAAGUCCUCAGUGGAGCAGGGAGACUGAGCAGCGUCCUCAGCUGUAUAAAGAUGCUGAGUGGCGUCCUCAAUCAUGCAGAGAGGCUGAGCGUCCUUCUCUAUCGACUCUGCAGGCUGAACUUGGUUGGCCGUGCCACCAGACUCAGGUGUACCCAUUGCUUGGUUGGCUGUGUUGUCAGUCUCAAGCAUAAGCAGAACUUGGCUGGCGGUGCCAGCGGACUCGGGCGUGAGCAGAACUUGGUUGACCGUGUUAGCAACUCGGGAGUAAGUAGAACUUGGUUGACUGUGUUAGCAACUCUGGCAUAAGCAGAACUUGGUUGACCGUGUCAGCAACUCGAGAGUGAGCAGAACUCGGUUUUCCAUGUCAGCAACUCGAGAGUGAGCAGAACUCGGUUUUCCAUGUCAGCAACUCGGGAGUGAGCAGAACUUGGUUUUUCGUGUCAGCAGACUCUAGGUUUCUGUUGUUUUUUUUGCUGCC
ensembl:lncRNA